GCUGUUUAACACUUAAGCUGUCCACAGAUGGCAAAGCUAAAAGAGCAUACUCUAACACAUGCUGACUGGGGCUUUGGGGAUUGUGGGCAACUUCUAGAUAUUGCUGUGGGCCCACGCAAAAUUCUGUGCCUGCCAGCUGCCCAGAUAAUGCUUGUCCCAGCCUCUGCACUCAUUCACCUGCAUGUACCCCGUCCUGCAAGGGGUAGAGAGCAGUUAACUGAGUAAACCAACUGCUGUGCCAUCCCACAAAAGGGUCAAGGGAACUAUCCUGUUUCACUCACUAUGUGAGGCUUGAUCUCAGUUUGUGACUUGCCUGCAAUGUUUUCCAUUACUGUGCACUGUUUGAAAAUUCCUUGAAGGAAGAAGGUGUGAUGACAUAGAUUCCCGGGGACAAUGCCAAGUGAUGACAGACACAGACACUGGAGUGAUACAGUACAAGCCCAGGAACACUAAGGAUCCAUGACCACCAUCAGAAGCCACAAAGAUGCAAGGAAGGAUUCUCCCCUACAUGUUUCAGCGGAAGCAUGUUUCUGUGGCCACAUUCAUUUCAGAGUUCUAGCUUCCACAAGUAGCUGCACAAGAGCUGGAAGCAGAGACAAUGGCCCAUUUCUCCUGGAGUUACAUGACUGUGCUCUACGAAAACAUGCUGUGCAGGAUGUGGGGUAUGUUCUCCAGUCAUCUUGGCAGGCCCUUCCUGUGUAACCUCCACCCUAAAAGCAAGAUGGAAUGGAGUGAUCAGGCCCCAGUAUUCUUAUUCUGUGGUUUCAGUAAUAGACCUUUUGCCCUAUGAGUGGAGACUGUAUGCUAGAAGGGAGACUUUUGGCCAUGCCUGGCCACAAUAGUGUCAGCAACAUAAAUCUGAGGAAAAUUGGAAAUACCAGUAGUCUCCCCAUCUUGUGGUAAAACAGUGGCUGAGACUGGGAGCUAGAAGGAGAGGGAGCCCUCAUAUCUUUUUGAGUAUGGGGAAGAAAUUGGUUGUGACUGAAAUGCCGUUGACUUUCAUUGUGGUUACUACAAUUAAGUAGAUUUUAUUGAAUGAAUGUUUUCCCAUUUGCUGCGUGGCCCUAGAGCAGUUUCUAGAGGCACAGAGAAAUUGUUCUUCAUAAUUUUAUGUAUAUUUUCAGGUGAGAAUCUUUUACAUUCCUUAUUCUGACACUCUAGAAGUCAGUUUCCCAAGAAACUUACUUUCAAACAUAAACAUUUUGUUUAUAUUCAAUAUAGUAAAAAAUAUUCAUUUGGGGGCAUAGACACUUUAGAAACUCAAAUAUGUCACAGAUAUUUGUAAAUAUUACUAAAUAGAUUCAAAUGUUUCUGUUAGGAUUAAUGUAUUGAUUAUUAAAAGGCAAAAUGACAGUUCUUUACCAACCAUAAGGAACAUAUACAGUGCCAUUUUAAUAAGUUUUUAUUGUCUAAAUAUUCACUUAAUUGUUCUUGAUAAAAUACCAUUUGAUUUCUCCUAUACCAAAAUCAUUGUUAGUGUAAUUUAAUUGAUAAUUUAUAAUUUAAUUGCUAAUCUCAUUCCGUACUAAUUUAUAACUCUAUCUAUGUCAUAAAUAUGAAUGGAGAGUUUCCAAUCAUACAGUAUCAGGCAUUUUUUCAAGAACUUCCUUUAAUUACUUCUGUUAUUACUAAUCUUGUGGUGUAGGUGGGAGAAAUUUGGGUAACCCUUUGGAUGUUACCACUGUUUAAUGUGUCAAAAUUA
rnacentral:lncRNA from 13 species